CGACCAGACUUUGAGUAUGAAGCAGGAAAUUGAAAUAUUUCCAGCAACCAGCGAGAGACAGUGCAGUCUAGAGUGCGCAAGAAAGUGUUCGCCUACAACUGAGAAAGACGUAGGCCUAUAUCUGUUUAUUCAUCAUUUAUUCAACGAUGCUGUCAGCAUGUCAGAUUAUACAGAGUUGAUUUAUAACCCUGGGUAACCACCGAGUAUGUGGACGGGAGCAGGAUUUGAGUUUAUCGCGGUGAUUCCAAAGAUGGGUGAUGUUGGAGGCUGGUAAACUUUUACCAGACUACACGGCGCUGAAACCCAGAAGAGAGCUGCUAUCUUUUGUUUACAGGAGCGUUAGAAAAUAAAAGUUGCAAGCAAUUCGCCGAUUAACUUCAUCCUGUCUGCCUGUUCGUAACAAUUCUAGAAGGCUGAAUAGACAAUCACAACAUUUAAUGUCGUGAUACUCAAGUUUUGGUUUAAAAAGUUAUUUUUCUUGGAGUGUUCUUUGCUACGAUAUCCUCCAUUUUCGCUGUACUCUUCACAGUCUACUUUGAUUUCAAAUUAACGCGAGGAAAAUAUUUGGAAAUUCGCCAGGACGCCCUUGGUUGAAUAUUAGACUUUGCGAUGUCUCUACAGUUAUACGAGAGUGCAGAAAGGAAGCGGACAAUACAGGCCUAUAUCGUAGUUUAUGCUCUGGGUAAUUAAAUUAAUAAUAAUAUAGUGAAUUCUAUACAGAACCGAAAAACAGCUCUGUAGUAAUAACAUUUCUGAAUCAGCCGGUAAGCCUCUUCAUACUUUGUUUCCAUUCUUCCCACACUCCGCUCUCGGUCUUGCCAAAAUUUACGCUUAGUUACAAUUCUCAGUGACUGACUUAUAAAGUAUGCAGUCAAGAGGAUGAUGGUGUUGCAAUCAUAACUUGUUACGUAAUGGUGACUUAAAGACUUACAGAAUUAAAAAACAAACAAACAAACUAUCCUUCAAAAGAGAUCAAAGGUUAAAUUCGAUUUACUGUAAUCUGUAGCUGGUAGGACAGGUUAGACUAUUAAUAUGUUGCCACAUUCUACUCCAUCUGUUAAUUAAUAUAUACUCGAUAGUUGGCAAUCCAACUAUGUAUUCAAUGUGAGUAAUAAACAUUAAAUAUCAAGUCGUA